CUUAUCCGGAAAACCCCAGCUCCCCGAGUAUUCUGGAUAACAGGUCCUGUACCUGUACAAUUUUGUUUAAUGUUUUAUCCCUGUGCAUGUUUCUAAUGGGAUAUAAAGGACAAGUUAAACACAAGUUCAUGUGACAGGCUUGCAUAUAAGGCCCUUUGAUUGACAGCUAGCCAGUACUAGGGUAGAAACCAAUAUGCUGUAGGCUAUAAACACAGGGGACGUCACAGCUAAAUAGGUGAGUAACAUAUUGCUCCAGCAAGUAAGGAGUGUGAGUUAGUAGGUAGCGUUACCCUGUACCAACCAUUGGACUAUAACCAUAUCAUUUAUUUAGGCUUUUACUGGGCUUGAGCUCAGAACCACUUACUAUGACUUUCCUGCGCUUACCCCUGCACUAUAGAUUCAGACUGCAUAUAAUGAGCUGCCCCAAACUACAGACCAACUACUAAUACAGUGUGUGUGUCUCCAGCUCUAUUAAUUGGGAUCAGCUGUGUCGCAUUAUUCAGCAGGUGCAGCUCGUUGCCAGAGACCACCCUGCACUUUGCAACAAAAUUUUACCCACUGCAUGGGACCCUGUUACUGUCUGCUGUUCCUGGAUUCCUGUCGCAAGACUCCUGACUUGUCUCCUGAACUUUUCCUGCUAUCAGUACCAAGAUAAACAGCAAGGCCUGUCCUGUUUGAAGCCAGAACCAACCGUGUCUGUUCCCAGCACCUGCUUCCUCCAAAGUCCCUGCUAAACUGACAUUCCAAGCAGAGCACCCAUUGUUUACAACCAUCCUGGAUGAACUGACAGCACCUAAAAAGUCAGACCCAGGGUGACGACGGCAAUUCCUGCUGGAUUAAUAUUCUACAUCUGGAUUCCUGGCACUCGAGUGCCUCACAUGCAUCACCCGUCUAACUGUAUCGUGUCUACUUCGGAGGGAAGGAAACAUUUUAAAACUGGAUUUGGAUAAUCCGAAAGCAGUUCUCAAACCCAGAUCGAAAAUACCAGAUCCAGUGAGAGCGACGGGAAAUGACUCCUGCCCACGAGAAACAGCCACAAACCAACCAUAAUCUGAUCUCUCGAUGGCACCGCACUUUUACAUGGCCCGGGAAAGACAGGCUUUAGGAUGGAGAAGAUUUAGGAGAGAAUCCCCGCCAUUUACAUCACUAAUGAAGACAUGUAUAUGGGAGACAGGUGUCUGCGCUGGGCUCAAGGUAGGAGAGCGAUGAAGGCCACACGGGAAACUGACUCGCGCGCAGCCAUUUUGAGCCUAUAUGUCAAGAACUCAUUAUAUUGUCAAACGUGGAAUCAAAAAAGAACAAUGUUUUAUUGCUAAAAAAGGCAACUAUCAUUUAGUAUUACAUUUGCUUCUUGAGUUUUAUGUCUUCAGACCUGACAUACAUCGUACAGGCUGUUCAACAAGCAAGUUGACUGCUUUUCUUGACGGUUUGUCGCCACGCAGAGGACUGUUCCUGCUGAAUUGUGCUUAGUACAGGGAAUACCUA